rnacentral:tRNA from 1 species
GCCUUCGUGGUGCAACGGUAGCACACUCGGCGCAUAUGCGAGAGGUCCAGGUUCGAUUCCCGGCAAGGGUA